GACGAACGCUGGCGGCGUGCUUAACACAUGCAAGUCGAACGGAAAGGCCCUGCUUUUGUGGGGUGCUCGAGUGGCGAACGGGUGAGUAACACGUGAGUAACCUGCCCUUGACUUUGGGAUAACUUCAGGAAACUGGGGCUAAUACCGGAUAGGAGCUCCUGCUGCAUGGUGGGGGUUGGAAAGUUUCGGCGGUUGGGGAUGGACUCGCGGCUUAUCAGCUUGUUGGUGGGGUAGUGGCUUACCAAGGCUUUGACGGGUAGCCGGCCUGAGAGGGUGACCGGCCACAUUGGGACUGAGAUACGGCCCAGACUCCUACGGGAGGCAGCAGUGGGGAAUAUUGCACAAUGGGCGGAAGCCUGAUGCAGCAACGCCGCGUGCGGGAUGACGGCCUUCGGGUUGUAAACCGCUUUCGCCUGUGACGAAGCGUGAGUGACGGUAAUGGGUAAAGAAGCACCGGCUAACUACGUGCCAGCAGCCGCGGUGAUACGUAGGGCGCGAGCGUUGUCCGGAUUUAUUGGGCGUAAAGGGCUCGUAGGUGGUUGAUCGCGUCGGAAGUGUAAUCUUGGGGCUUAACCCUGAGCGUGCUUUCGAUACGGGUUGACUUGAGGAAGGUAGGGGAGAAUGGAAUUCCUGGUGGAGCGGUGGAAUGCGCAGAUAUCAGGAGGAACACCAGUGGCGAAGGCGGUUCUCUGGGCCUUUCCUGACGCUGAGGAGCGAAAGCGUGGGGAGCGAACAGGCUUAGAUACCCUGGUAGUCCACGCUGUAAACGGUGGGUACUAGGUGUGGGGUCCAUUCCACGGGUUCCGUGCCGUAGCUAACGCUUUAAGUACCCCGCCUGGGGAGUACGGCCGCAAGGCUAAAACUCAAAGGAAUUGACGGGGCCCCGCACAAGCGGCGGAGCAUGCGGAUUAAUUCGAUGCAACGCGUAGAACCUUACCUGGGUUUGACAUGGAUCGGGAGUGCUCAGAGAUGGGUGUGCCUCUUUUGGGGUCGGUUCACAGGUGGUGCAUGGCUGUCGUCAGCUCGUGUCGUGAGAUGUUGGGUUAAGUCCCGCAACGAGCGCAACCCUUGUUCACUGUUGCCAGCACGUUAUGGUGGGGACUCAGUGGAGACCGCCGGGGUCAACUCGGAGGAAGGUGGGGAUGACGUCAAGUCAUCAUGCCCCUUAUGUCCAGGGCUUCACGCAUGCUACAAUGGCUGGUACAGAGAGUGGCGAGCCUGUGAGGGUGAGCGAAUCUCGGAAAGCCGGUCUCAGUUCGGAUUGGGGUCUGCAACUCGACCUCAUGAAGUCGGAGUCGCUAGUAAUCGCAGAUCAGCAACGCUGCGGUGAAUACGUUCCCGGGGCU
rnacentral:rRNA from 1 species